CCCAAAUCACGCCGACAACAAAAUCCCCUUUCUUUACUGUACUGUUGUCUUUACGCGGUUGAGAUUUGGGUAGGGUGGGCAGGGGAGAUCCGAGCAGGACGCAUCGUGCUGCUCGACAUCUUCAUCGCCGGUGCGGCCGGGGCGAUGGUGCUGCAGGUUGGUGGUGUGGAGGAGGCAGUGACUGACCUGACGAAGGGUGCACAUGUUCGCAGAUUUCCCAGCGAUUUGGUGUGUGCCGAUCUUCCAAGCCAUUCUGACCGAGGAGGGGACCGGGUGUUUAAGCAGCUGUUCUUGCUCCGGCCACCAGCGAGAUCGCAUCUCGUCGUCGCUGAUCAGGAAAGGCGGAUGCCGGUCGCCUGGGAGGUCACAGGUGCUGGCAGAGAGCUUUGGCGUUGCGUAGAAUGGCCUCUCGUUCCUUGUCGCUUAGGUUGAUGAAGAACGACAGAUUUCCCAUCCAAUGAGUGGUGAGAGAUCUCAUGGAGGAUGGAGUAUCGGUUCAUGGAUUUCAUGGACAAAAUUGUUCUACUGGGUCAAGCUAUUGGUGCCAGGGCAUCAAUGCCAAGGUGGCAUAGGACAGAAAAUAAUUGUUGACCAAGGCAAGCUAAUGGAGAAUAACUGGAUCCUAAGGCACUGUACAUAUGGUGGACUACUGUUAUGGUCUAUUAGAGGUGUGGGGGUAACAGAGGCAGAUUCAUAUGAGGAGAUAGCAAAAUAAAUGAAUAGUACCAAGAUGUGAGCAACAUGUUUGGCCAACCACUGUGUUGUUGCCCUCCUCAUCGUCGGUGUUGUUGGACUUCUACCACAUGGUGGCAGUAACAAUGGAUAUUAUUUUACCGCGCCCAAGAUCCGAGUAUUCAUCUUCAUGCCUUCCUAAUUGUUUGUACUGCUGGACUUUUACCACUGUAAGUGUUAUUGCUCUGUAUCCUUCCUAAUCCAAAUCAUCUUUGUGCUCCUUCCUAAGAUUUCUAUAUUACUCGUACUAUAAUAUUGGAAUUUUUCUCAUGGUACGCUUGAAUAGAAAAUGCAGCAUGAUAGUAGAACUGUUACCAAGAACAUAGAACUCCCAAAAGUGUAUGUCUAACUGUAUUUCAAAUCAAUACAAUAUGACAUGCUUUUCAUAGUGUUAAUGUCUCCUUAUAUUGGUUGAUCUGAAGAAAGUAUUGAGUCUAUUCUAGACUAAGGACAUAAUGCUAUUGCAGCAUAAUAAGUUUUCUUCUUAUCCUAGUAGAUGUCAAGUACACUUACUGUAUAUAUCUUGGUAAGUAAAAUAUGUUGCCCUAUUAUUUAUCUGAUAAGCUACCGAUGCACUAAUUUUAUAGAUAACUUCCUCGCUCUCCUAGGCUUCUGUUUCCGUACAUCAUCUUCAUCUUCAAGCCUUGUAUUGUUUCGGCUGACAUCUUUUCCCUUGCUUUCUGGCAAACAUGCUCCGUGCAUUCUCCUCUGAUUCAUCUGGUAUUACAACAUAUCCCGGUCUUCUUUUCUUGUCAUCGUGGAACUCACGUGACGAUGAUGUUAUUUUGUCUUGAUGCCCAUCUUUGUUUAUUUUAGUCCCAUUACUAUCGUGUGGUUCCUAUUUCAUUGGCACCAGACACAUUGUAAUUUGGUAGUUGAAACAUUAUUAUUCUAUGACUGCAAAAUAAAUAUAAAUUUAAAAUCAAACACAUUUAUAAAAAUCUAGAAGUGUCUACAGUGGAAAAAUCAAUCACCAUUUUAUCGGUGCAUGUUCUGCGUCUACCUUUCAUGUUUUAAGACAGUGUCCACCUCAUCAUCCAUCAAUUUCAAUGCAAUAUAUGUAAGAUGAAUUAGUUAGGGAAUUCUAGACACAAUACUUAAUUUUUGAAGAAAAAAAGUUAAAUGCACCUUUACCUCAGCUUUAUCAUUCAAGUAGAGCAUCUCAAGCCUAUCAUUGGGCACAAAUGUUCUUUUUACUACAUAAUUUUCUGUGCCAAAGAUGAUAUUACAUCCAUUCAACUUGGCAUUUCAUUUCCCAUCGAAUGAUCUCAGCAAGUUAGAGAUAGAUGUAUUAAGCAAUCUUGGAGUGUCCUUUUCAAAUAAAGUGCAGCUUGUAGUAGUUUUAUGCUCACUAAUUUGGAGUCGAAUACAAUACCUACCACACCAUUGAUGUUAGCGAAUCAUAAAUAUUAUAUAAUACUCCAGUUAUUUCUGAACUAUAAACAUACCUGAUCAUUGUUUUUCUUUUUCUGCCUGUUCCUAUAGUGUAUCCUUCAUAGAAACUCAAAGUAAUAAUCUGGGUAAACCUCUGGAGAUCCUUUUCCCUCCUGUAUGUUUGCUUUGUAUGAAAAAUAUAUUUCACUUACAUUGCUCAUUGGCGGUAUUUUUAUGGAUUCCACAACCUUGAAACUUUGAAUCCAUAAAUAGAUUGCUCUUUGAUAUGAAAGAUAGCAUGAAUUGUUUGGCCCUAUGAAUAAUGAGAUAUACUUAGUAUUUUUCAUUGAGAAGAUAGAACAAUUUAAAAAAUAGCUAUUAUAGGUCAAAUACAAAUAAGUGAUGCUAUAACUUAAUUAUAGUAAUGUACAUGAAAAUAGGUUGUUCUUAAAGAAGUUGUCAAAACUUUUUGAGAUGGAAAUAUCCAAACACACAUGGUUGUCCUAGUUUUUUUGGCGUGUGUUUGGAUUGAGGCUUUGCUCUGUUGGGCGUCGCAGCAUUGGGAGUGCAGAUUGGAUGCUUCAGUACCUGCAAUCCAUCGUGGGUGCAUAUUGUACGCUUCAGCACCUUCAAUUUGCCGACGUGACGGACGCAUAUUGAAUGCUUAAUGCUAUCAUGCUGGCUAGCAAUGGCUACGUGUGUGUGUUUAUGCUGCUUGGGGGCUGGUCGUCGCAUAUGAUACGUGUAUGUGUUCUUGUCCAAUUGAAGUUGUGUGUUUGCUAGAAAUCAAUCACGACAUGCAAAUCAAUUAGGCAAUGCAUGAAUAUGUAUCCGUUUGUUUCUCUUGUAUAUGAGGCAUGUAGACAUGACCAAAGUCGGUCGACUGGGUAUGUUCAUGUGUUUUAUGUUCACAUAUUCGUACGUGUCAUGGUUGGCUUUUUUAAUCAACCGUAGUUUUUGUACCAACCGUAGUUGUAUGUAACCGUUCAACAUGACACCAUAAAAGCUCAAUACUACCGGUACAUAUAUUUUAUGAUGUUACGUAAAAACACAUAAAUCUUAGUCGUUGUUAUUGUAAUCUAAUGGCGUAAAGAAUAUUAGCAUAUGUGGAAGAACGUGAUGGCUUAUUUGACUCUUGCUUUAAGUAUAUACUAGAUGCAUGUGAGCCACAUAUGGAGAGACUGAAAGGAAUAGUAUUUCUCUGUGCGCUCUGGUUCAUUAUAGGUGGGCAACCGACAUUGUAUAGAAAAACUUGUAAUAUCUUCAAUCUGCUUGCUCUUCUGCUUUUCUUUAGGAUGAUCCUCUUCUCUUUUUUAAUAAGUAUGUUCCUUGUUGGGAAGAGUAGCAGAGACAUUUGCGGUCGACUGGUCAGGUGGAGUUGUUCUUCCUUAGUAUAUUUUGAAUCUGUUAGGUCAGGUUGAUUUGUUCUUCUUUACUAUAUGUUGAAGCUGUCAUCUAUGAAGUAUCAUCACUUCUGGAGCUCUCAUAUUUUGAGUAGUAGGCUACAUUAUAUUAAUGCACACACCAAAUUACAUCAUGCAUGAUAUCUCUCGGAAGAAUUGCAGAGAUAACACAAAGGGGUUUACAGGGAGACAGUAUUGGAUUAGAAUCACUUCUGCAUUACAAAGAUAAUCUCACUUGUUUUUAUGUUUUCAUGCAUGUCAGGUAUUGAACAUUAUCAAAAUGAAUAUGAGAAUGGGCGCACGAGAGGAAUAUUGUGGAACAAUCCACUGGCUAACGAACUUGGCAUGGUGGAGGAUGGCCUAUCUUAUUCACCCAUCAAGAAGCUUGCUUUAUCUUGGCAAGGUUGUAUUGGUUGCACAUAUUUUGUAUCUGACCUCUCGCAUUACUUCUAUUACACCAUUUGCUUAGUUUAAGCAUCAUAUAUGAGUAUAUGCCAUACCUAUCCAUUUUUGUACCUAUUCCAUAUGUCGUCAUAUUGUGUUUUUCCAGUCAAAUUGUUCUUUCUAAUAGAUGUCUAAAAAGAAGAGGGUGAGUGCAGAUCCUCAAGGAGUACAAACUAGGUAUUUGGAAAAAGGUAGUGAUACAUGUUAAAUCAGAUAGAUCAGCAGCCACAGAAAACACAGUCCCAACUGUACCACACUUCACCCCUAUUCCACUGGCCAAACCCCUAUUAGAACUGCUAAGAGCCCAGCGUCAGAUGAAUCUCCUUGCUCAAAGGAUCAUAGGAUCUCACAACAAUACUGGACACUUCAUUGCUCUUAAUAAUGGCAACGCUUAUAACGAAGUUUCUUUGAGGAAUGUAUUGAAUUAUCCUUCCAUCAACAUGGAGAAGGGCUUUGUCCAGCCCGUGUUAACAUAUAAUAGUCGUAUCUUUUAUGCCUGGCAGAACUUUGGGGAAGAUAGUGAGCCAAACCAUCUUGAUGAGAGCGAGAUGACCCCAAGGUCUUGUCUUGAUGAAGACAGUGAGUUGAAGCUACUCACCAGCAGCUAUGAGACAACCUCUGUACAGUCACCACCUCAAUCAGUUCAACUUCUUCUGUCUCAACUUAAAGCGGAAAGGCUUGCUUUAACUCAACUCUGACUUGAAGUCAAACAUGCAAUGAAGAUCUUGGGGGACUACCUUGCGUAAUAUGGUGCUAUAGAGCUAGGGAUGGAGCAUCUAAGGUUGACACAACUAAGGUCUCAUCAUCUUGUUAGGCUGCUUGCGGAGCCCAUCCUAACCAGGCCUAGUGCCUUCUGAAGUGCUCUCAGUUUUGUAUAUUCUUUUGUCGGCGCGUUUAUAUGCACUGGUGGCAACCUUUGAUGCCCAGUGUAUGUAAUUCGUGGUCACGUUGCAUUUUAUUAUCACCGAUAGCAAACUUUGAUUUCCAGUGGAUGUAAUAUGCCGUAAUUUCAUUAUUGUAUAGUCUAGGUUUAUUUUUGGUCGUUAUGUUGUAAUUUAGGCGGAAGGUUCAGUGGAUCUCAGUGUUGUCGGUCUUCAGACUGGCCCAUUACUCAUAUGGGCCAAAACGUGGGCCUAUAAUCAUCUUGGGUCAUUAGUAGGUCUAAAA